GACCCCGCACAAGCGGCGGAGCAUGCGGCUUAAUUCGAUGAUACCCGUAGAACCUUACCUGGACUUGACAUAUAGGGUCAAGCUAUAGAGAUAUAGUGUGCAUUAGCGCCCUAUACAGGUGGUGCAUGGCUGUCGUCAGCUCGUGUCGUGAGAUGUUGGUUAAGUCCUAUAACGAGCGCAACCCCUACCGUUAGUUGCCAGCGUGUAAUGACGGGGACUCUAACGGAACUGCCGGUGCAAACCGUGAGGAAGGUGGGGACGACGUCAAAUCAUCACGGCCCUUACGUCCUGGCCACACACGUGCUACAAUGGUAGGUACAGAGGGAAGCCACCCCGCGAGGGGGAGCG
rnacentral:rRNA from 1 species